rnacentral:ribozyme from 13 species
CAAUUCAAAAACCAAAAGUAUGACAGAUAUAACCAAGAACAAAGAGCAAGGAUUAAAUCGGCGAACCUGGGUUGGUCGAUUCUUCUCAUAUUGAGUACAGUCCUUUUUGUGGCUCUUUUUCGUUUUCUUUCUUUUAA